rnacentral:rRNA from 1 species
GAUUUCUGGUUGACCUUCCUGGCCCGCAGCCCUCGGGUUGUGAGUGCUGGUAAGAGUCUGCCAUCCUUGUAGAGAGCCAUGCCUGCUGUUCACUCAGCUGGGUGUGUGCGAUCUACAUCUUUUACUUUGAAAAAAUUAGAGUGUUUCAAGCAGGCGUUUUGCUAUGAAUACAUUAGCAUGGAAUAAUGAGUUAGGACUUCGGUUCUAUUUUGUUGGUUUCUAGGACUGAAGUAAUGAUUGAUAGGGAUAGUUGGGGGUGCUAGUAUUCAGCGGCCAGAGGUGAAAUUCUUGGAUUCGCUGAAGACUAACUUAUGCGAAAGCAUU